GAAGUCGCCCAGACAGUCGCUGCGUACCUAGUACGGAGAGGAAAGUCCGGGCUCCACAGAGCAGGAUGCCGGCUAACGGCCGGGCACCGUGAGGUGACGGAAAGUCCCGCUGGCAGCAGCGGGCAGUGGUGAUGGGUGUCUGAUUCAGGUUUGUCCCGUCGCAUCAUCGCUGGCAACAGAAAGCAAACCGCCGAUGGCGUCAGACGCCAGGUAAGGGUGAAAGGGUGAGGUAAGAGCUCACCGCGUCCGGGGCCAACGCCGGGCGGCACGGUAAACCCCAUCCGGAGCAAGACCAAAUAGGGAAGCAUUGGCGUGGCUCGCGUCGCUUCCGGGUAGGUUGCU
rnacentral:RNase_P_RNA from 1 species